rnacentral:lncRNA from 1 species
CUUCAUCCACAUCAUUCAAUGGAUGAAGAACUUAUGGUGACCGUUACUCUAUCCAUCCAUUUCAACCAGUCCUUUUUGACCAGGUUUGUAUGGAGUCCCCAGAUGUGGACUUGCCAGUACUUAAAAAAUUACUUACCCUGUGUGUUUUACUACUUGUACCCUUUCUCCCUCUAUAGCUCUCACUUGCUUGCUCCUCUAGCUCUUGAGCCAUGAGUGGAUGAAUGAAACAUGUACCGUAGAUAUUUGACUUCAAUAUCAUAUCAACACGUGGCUCCUACCACCACCACCUGCCCCCUUUUACUAGACUAUCACAACAAACCAUGAUUAGUGUGACUAUGGACCCCAUGUCUCUGUACUUAUCACUCAUUUGGGUAACCCCUAGUUUAGGGUUGUCUAAUCAUGGAUGAGAGUAAUAGGUCGACAUCUAUUCAUUGUUUGAUGGAUGGAAGUGAUAAUA